GAUGAACGCUAGCGGCAGGCUUAACACAUGCAAGUCGAGGGGCAGCGGGGAGUAGCAAUACUCCGCCGGCGACCGGCGCACGGGUGCGUAACGCGUAUGCAACCUACCUUUAACAGGGGCAUAACACUGAGAAAUUGGUACUAAUUCCCCAUAACAUUCGAGAAGGCAUCUUCUUGGGUUAAAAACUCCGGUGGUUAAAGAUGGGCAUGCGUUGUAUUAGCUAGUUGGUGAGGUAACGGCUCACCAAGGCAACGAUACAUAGGGGGACUGAGAGGUUAACCCCCCACAUUGGUACUGAGACACGGACCAAACUCCUACGGGAGGCAGCAGUGAGGAAUAUUGGUCAAUGGACGCAAGUCUGAACCAGCCAUGCCGCGUGCAGGAAGACGGCUCUAUGAGUUGUAAACUGCUUUUGUACUAGGGUAAACGCUUCUACGUGUAGGAGCCUGAAAGUAUAG
rnacentral:rRNA from 1 species